GCCUUGUUGUCAAUAUGGUCUCUCAAACAAGAUUAGCCUGUUAUCCCUAAGGUAGCUUUUUCUAUCUUUCAGUUUUUCUGGAUCUAAGAGAGGUUUUAGUUUUUCUCUAGUUGCCCCAACUAAGCUUUCUUUCAGUAGGGUUAAGUGUUAAGCUAAGCUCUAUAGGGUCUUUUCGUCUUUUUGUUUAAUUCAAGUCUCUUCACUUGAAGGCCAAUUUUUAAGGGUUAGGGCGAGACAGCGGAGCUUUCGUAUAUUCAUUCAUUCUAGCCAUCAAUUAAACGGCAAGUGAUUAUGC
rnacentral:rRNA from 1 species